rnacentral:lncRNA from 1 species
AAAUAUUUAAUAAAAUAAAAAAAAAAUCAUUCCUGCAAUUUCUAUGUUAUUUUUUAUGGUAACUUUUAGAGUGAAUGCUCAAUUAAGUCUCUUUUUUGUGUACCACUUAAAUUGACGGUUGGAUUAAACAAACAUAGAUGAUCUAAAUAUUCCUUAGUGCACUCAAUUCAAUCUCUUUAUCUCUCCCUCAAUAGAUAUUUCUCUCUCCCUCCACCGCCUGCAUUCUCC